CGGAGGGUGCAAGCGUUAUCCGGAUUUACUGGGUUUAAAGGGUGCGUAGGUGGGUAGGAAAGUCAGUGGUGAAAUCUUCGGGCUUAACCCGGAAACUGCCAUUGAUACUAUUUAUCUUGAAUACUUUGGAGGUAAGCGGAAUAUGUCAUGUAGCGGUGAAAUGCUUAGAUAUGACAUAGAACACCAAUUGCGAAGGCAGCUUACUACACAGUUAUUGACACUGAGGCACGAAAGCGUGGGGAUCAAACAGGAUUAGAUACCCUGGUAGUCCACGCCCUAAACGAUGGAUACUCGACAUCAGCGAUACACUGUUGGUGUCUGAGCGAAAGCAUUAAGUAUCCCACCUGGGAAGUACGAUCGCAAGAUUG
rnacentral:rRNA from 1 species